UCGUGGGUGCACACGCGUUACACACAACCGUUGGUGCACACGCGUUCAACAUAAUCGUGGGUGCACACGCGUUCCACAUAAUCGUGGGUGCACACGCGUUCCACAUGAUCGUGGGUGCACACGCAUUCCACACAGACGCAAACGCGCAAGACGAGCGCGUGCACGCGCACGGUGUUCAAGAAAACUGCCUCCCAGUUGGACACCGCAGUUGAUCUCCCAAGAACACGGAGCAUUUCUCAUCUCCACCAAUGUAGAAAACAGCUGAUCGUGCAAUAUAAAUUGUUGUCAUUCCUUCAAAGGAACGUCCUCCACAGGAGCCUGAGAAGCAACCUGGCCAUAAAUGAUAGCUCAACGAAGUAGCUUAUCAUUUGGAAGUUCAUAUCAGUCACAUACUCUACACGCACGUUUAUAAACGUGGAGAAAAAAACCUGGAGGACCUGGAGAAAAAUCCACACGACCACAUUGAGAACGUGCAAAUAAUAUACAGGCGUCAGGAUUGGGAUAAAAGCCACGACCUCCUGCAUACCAGAUCAAACCACAGCUGUAAAAACACCCACACCUGCUGGGGGUUCCCACAACAAAGACAACAAACAGCGUGGACACCAUGUGUCCCCCACACUGUGCCAGUAAAUCAGGGGAGGUAGGUGGGAGGCGUGGUGGUGGUGGUGCGUUUGGCCAGACAUAACUGUGGCUGCAGUCUUAGGAAGAUCACCCGCUCUCGCUCCCCUUGUGCGCAAACUAGUCCGGCAAUUUUUUUGAUCCCCCGGGUGUUUUUUAA